AGGAAGUGACAUCAUUUUGGAGGGAAAUGUAUCGAGUGAGACGAGGACCUUUUCAAGUGGAGAUCACUGAUAAAGCGUCUGCUUGUCAGGGAAUCUCUUU